AGGUUCAUAUUAUGAUAUUCGAGGAUCUAUAUAUACAAAUGAUAAUUCAUCCCAUGUAACCUUUUCUCAAGUGUUUAUCAUGUCUCUCCCUCAUGUUAGGAAAACUAACUUAUUUUCUCAACUCUGGGAAAUCAUCUUUGUGCAUUAUCAUGUAAUAUACACAGCACAUUAAUAAUAAUAAGAUGAAAUUAUUUGGUUCCUGACCCUGAA
rnacentral:lncRNA from 1 species